UACGAAGGGGGCUAGCGUUGUUCGGAAUCACUGGGCGUAAAGGGCGCGUAGGCGGGCUCGUCAGUCGAGGGUGAAAUCCUGUGGCUCAACCACAGAACUGCCUUCGAUACUGCGAGCCUAGAGUUCGAGAGAGGUUGGUGGAACUGCGAGUGUAGAGGUGAAAUUCGUAGAUAUUCGCAAGAACACCAGUGGCGAAGGCGGCCAACUGGCUCGAGACUGACGCUGAGGCGCGAAAGCGUGGGGAGCAAAC
rnacentral:rRNA from 1 species